AUUGAACGCUGGCGGAAUGCUUUACACAUGCGAGUCGAACGGCAGCACGGGGGCAGCCCUGGUGGCGAGUGGCGAACGGGUGAGUAAUACAUCGGAACGUGCCCGGUCGUGGGGGAUAACGUAGCGAAAGUUACGCUAAUACCGCAUACGAUCUGAGGAUGAAAGCGGGGGACCUUCGGGCCUCGCGCGAUCGGAGCGGCCGAUGUCAGAUUAGGUAGUUGGUGGGGUAAAGGCCUACCAAGCCGACGAUCUGUAGCUGGUCUGAGAGGACGACCAGCCACACUGGGACUGAGACACGGCCCAGACCCCUACGGGAGGCAGCAGUGGGGAAUUUUGGACAAUGGGCGCAAGCCUGAUCCAGCCAUUCCGCGUGCAGGACGAAGGCCUUCGGGUUGUAAACUGCUUUUGUACGGAACGAAAAGGCUCUGGCUAAUACCUGGGGCUCAUGACGGUACCGUAAGAAUAAGCACCGGCUAACUACGUG
rnacentral:rRNA from 1 species